UUGUACCUGCAAUGAUGUCAUCCAUCUGCUCCAAAGCUGCUUCAAGCAUAUGACUAGCGUCAGAAGCCAUGAUCUGCGAUUUGCUCAGACUUUUACUCUUCCUACUGCCAGCGGAGCUCAAGUUUCAAAACUUUGCUCUCUCCGCGGACAAACCUCCAGGAGCCGCGUCCAUUU